GUGGGGAAUAUUGGACAAUGGGGGGAACCCUGAUCCAGCCAUGCCGCGUGUGUGAAGAAGGCCUUUUGGUUGUAAAGCACUUUAAGCGAGGAGGAGGCUACCGAGAUUAAUACUCUUGGAUAGUGGACGUUACUCGCAGAAUAAGCACCGGCUCACUCUGUGCCAGCAGCCGCGGUAAUACAGAGGGUGCAAGCGUUAAUCGGAUUUACUGGGCGUCAAGCGCGCGUAGGUGGCCAAUUAAGUCAAAUGUGAAAUCCCCGAGCUUAACUUGGGAAUUGCAUUCGAUACUGGUUGGCUAGAGUAUGGGAGAGGAUGGUAGAAUUCCAGGUGUAGCGGUGAAAUGCGUAGAGAUCUGGAGGAAUACCGAUGGCGAAGGCAGCCAUCUGGCCUAAUACUGACACUGAGGUGCGAAAGCAUGGGGAGCAAACAGGAUUAGAUACCCUAGUAGUCC
rnacentral:rRNA from 1 species